rnacentral:rRNA from 1 species
CCGUACCUGCAACUCAUGCGCAAGGGCCAAUCCCCCCACCGGCCGAAUCCCGCGCCACCUGACCCAAAUCGCCAACGGCCUGGUCAUCGACCUCUACCGCCGUCGACAGAACCUUACCAAGUCUUGACAUCCGGAUGACCGGGACGUAACGGUCCUUUCCCUUCGGGGCAUCCGAGACAGGUGGUGCAUGGUUGUCGUCAGCUCGUGUCGUGAGAUGUUGGGUUAAGUCCCGCAACGAGCGCAACCCUUAUCCUCAGUAGCCAGCAGUAAGAUGGGCACUCUGUGGAGACUGCCAGGGAUAACCUGGAGGAAGGUGGGGAUGACGUCAAAUCAUCAUGCCCCUUAUGAUUUGGGCUACACACGUGCUACAAUGGCGUAAACAAAGGGAAGCGAAAGGGUGACCUGGAGCAAAUCUCAGAAAUAACGUCUCAGUUCGGAUUGUAGUCUGCAACUCGACUACAUGAAGCUGGAAUCGCUAGUAAUCGCGAAUCAGCAUGUCGCGGUGAAUACGUUCCCGGGUCGACGCGGCCG